rnacentral:rRNA from 1 species
GAGGCAGCGACCUAAGGUAGGGUCAGCGAUUGGGGUGAAGUCGUAACAAGGUAGCCGUAGGAGAACCUGCGGCUGGAUCACCUCCUUUCUA